rnacentral:rRNA from 1 species
AGAGUUUGAUCCUGGCUCAGGAUGAACGCUAGCGACAGGCCUAACACAUGCAAGUCGAGGGGCAUCGGGGCGAGGAGCAAUCCUUGCCGCCGGCGACCGGCGCACGGGUGAGUAACGCGUAUGCGACCUGCCCGUUGCAGGGGGAUAAUCGGGAGAAAUCCCGUCUAAUACCGCGUAAUGCCGCGGGGCUGCAUGGCCCUGCGGCCAAAGGGAGCGAUUCCGGCAACGGAUGGGCAUGCGUGACAUUAGCUAGUUGGCGGGGCAACGGCCCACCGAGGCGACGAUGUCUAGGGGUUCUGAGAGGAAGGUCCCCCACACUGGUACUGAGACACGGACCAGACUCCUACGGGAGGCAGCAGUGAGGAAUAUUGGUCAAUGGGCGCGAGCCUGAACCAGCCAAGUCGCGUGAGGGAUGACGGCCCUACGGGUUGUAAACCUCUUUUGUCGGGGAGCAAAUUCCGUUACGUGUAACCGGAGUCGAGAGUACCCGAAGAAAAAGCAUUCGGCUAACUCCGUGCCAGCAGCCGCGGUAAUACGGAGGAUGCGAAGCGUUAUCCGGAUUUAUUGGGUUUAAAAGGGUGCGUAGGCGGAACUGUCAGUCAGCGGGUAAAAUACGGGGGCUCAACCUCCCGCCCCGCCGUUGAAACUGACGGUCUUGAGUGGGCGAGAAGUAUGCGGAAUGCGUGGUGUAGCGGUGAAAUGCAUAGAUUAUCACGCAGAACUCCGAUUGCGAAGGCAGUAUACCGGCGCCCAACUGACGCUGAAGCACGAAAGCGUGGGUAUCGAACAGGAUUAGAUACCCUGGUAGUCCACGCAGUAAACGAUGAAUACUAGCUGUCCGGGGCGAAUGAGCCCUGGGUGGCACAGCGAAAGCGUUAAGUAUUCCACCUGGGGAGUACGCCGGCAACGGUGAAACUCAAAGGAAUUGACGGGGGCCCGCACAAGCGGAGGAACAUGUGGUUUAAUUCGAUGAUACGCGAGGAACCUUACCCGGGCUCAAACGACACAGGAACGUACCUGAAAGGGUUCGGCUCUACGGAGCCUGUGUCGAGGUGCUGCAUGGUUGUCGUCAGCUCGUGCCGUGAGGUGUCGGCUUAAGUGCCAUAACGAGCGCAACCCCCAUCGACAGUUGCUAACAGGUCAGGCUGAGGACUCUGUCGAGACUGCCGGCGCAAGCUGCGAGGAAGGCGGGGAUGACGUCAAAUCAGCACGGCCCUUACGUCCGGGGCGACACACGUGUUACAAUGGCAGGUACAGCGGGAAGCCACCUGGCGACAGGGAGCGGAACCCGAAAGCCUGUCUCAGUUCGGAUUGGAGUCUGCAACCCGACUCCAUGAAGCUGGAUUCGCUAGUAAUCGCGCAUCAGCCACGGCGCGGUGAAUACGUUCCCGGGCCUUGCACUCACCGCCCGUCA